GAUUACACUAAGUUGGCACUGAUGCUAUAGUGCCCUAAGGUGGUGCUGCAUCUCGAGCUACCAGAAGGCAAGCACAAGUGAAGAUCACGUCGGAGACGUGCCGUGCUCCCCUUUCAUCAUUGCAAAAGGAGAGAACUUUCUGACUGCUGGGGCAUUUACCAUCUGUGAUGAUUGAUACCCAUGCUGUGAUCGAAUCCACC
rnacentral:lncRNA from 1 species